UACGAAGGGUGCAAGCGUUAAUCGGAAUUAUUGGGCGUAAAGAGCUCGUAGGUGGUUCGGUAAGUCGGAUGUGAAAUCUCCAGGCUCAACCUGGAGGGGUCAUUCGAUACUGCCGUGACUAGAGUUCGGUAGGGGAGUGUGGAAUUCCUGGUGGAGCGGUGAAAUGCGCAGAUAUCAGGAGGAACACCCGUAGCGAAGGCGGCACUCUGGGCCGAUACUGACACUGAGGAGCGAAAGCGUGGGGAGCGAACAGG
rnacentral:rRNA from 1 species